ensembl:lncRNA
UUCCCGCCCGGGGGUGAAGGCCAGUGGGGGGCCAAGUUCGUCUGGUCGGGCCCGCGGAGGGACGUCACGGCCUGGGCUGCUGUCUGUGUGGCGUGCCAGCAUGCAAAGGUUGUACCGGGCGAUCAUGCAUUAGCCUACAAUGAAAGGGAGGACCGCAAGAUUCAAUAUCUGCAGGACAAGCUGUCUUCAAGGUCGUGUUCCGCACGUCCAGGAAGGGGAAUGCCCAACAAAGCCAUCAAAAUACACCCUACAUACGUAAGAGGCAGCCCCAACGGAGGAAGUUGUUGCCCGCCAUGUCUCCCGCUUCAGUCAGGGGUGGCCGGAAUUCUACAUACUGUCCAGCCAGAUUAGGAAACUCCUGGCAUAUCCGGAGAACGACACACGACAGUAUGACUUUCAUGACAUUCUGUCCCAAGUAGCCUCGAAACCAGCUGACAAAGCGAUGAGGACAGAUACCUGUAACGCCUGUAUGGAGAGGAUAUAUGGCAAAUCCUGUUGAAACUGUGUAAAUACAGGGAUACUUCUGGCAAGUGUUUUUACAUUUGCAAAACAUUUAUUUUUAUUGAGGAAAACAUUAAUUUGUCAUGUCUUCAGUCAUUUAUGGUCAUAUGGUAUAAUACAACAUUUAUGUUUAGAUUUUAUUUCAGACAGCUCUAUCUAAUUUCAUGUAAUAAAAACAUACUUUUCUACUG